rnacentral:lncRNA from 1 species
AUCUAGGUUGGUAUUUACCUGGGGCCAAACUAUGGUGGAGCUAAUGAAGAUAAUGGUGACCUCCUUCAAAAGAUCAUUACGAAAAGUAGCAUUCAUAUGUACUACUACACUCAGUGCCCCCAACCCUGCCGCAGGCCACUACCAAUGCCAGUGCUGGAGACUCCUGGAUGCUCACAGGCAAGUCUGGAGAUGUACAGAGACUCAAAUCUUCAGUUACCUUUCAAAUGCUCAACAAGCCCACUUAUUGAAGUAAGCGGUAACAGUUUCCUGAGCCUGAAGUAUGAGAGAGCAGAGACACUUGAAGAGUGUUGUGAAUUACAUGCUGCAUGGGACAUCUGAAAUUCUGUAUGUUAGGCAUCCCUGUACGCGCUUCUGACAUUUCCUGAAAUCAUUUUGUGAUCUUCCUCUGGCAAAAUGUUUAUUUGCCAGUGAAUUCAGUGGACGAGCAUGGAGAACAAUGAAUGUGCUGGUAUUACGUAUGUGCCACGAAUGUAAGUUUUGGAUAGACGUUGACUAUGGCAAUACUGUGCCACAGACUUUUUUGUUCUUUGCAGCUGAGCUUCAGAGACAGAAACUAUGCUUGAUUGCACAAUGUCUCCCAUAGAAAUUAUAAGGAGAAUGCCAUGCUCUAAUUGUGAUUAUUUACACAGAACACCCCAGCUCCCUGUUUCCCCUCUGGCUUUUCUUAAGCAAGCAAUUUAUUCACAACAGUUUUAAAUUUAAAAUCAAUAUUUCUAUUAAAGUAGUUUUACACUUUUCAUCUUUAUGAAUGGACAAGUCUUAGAAGGGAAUCCAACUGCGCUUAAGCGGGAAGACGAGGCUAUUGAUAAAACACAUUCUAGAGGCAUCUAUGAAAAUGAAGUAUUUCUGUUUAUCUUUAAACACAGAAAUAAAUGUGAAUGGACAUAAAAUGUAACUUGUAUC